rnacentral:rRNA from 1 species
UACGAGGGGGGCAAGCGUUGUUCGGAAUUAUUGGGCGUAAAGAGCUCGUAGGCGGUCUGUCGCGUCGGCUGUGAAAACCCGGGGCUCAACCCCGGGCCUGCAGUCGAUACGGGCAGACUAGAGUGCGGUAGGGGAGACUGGAAUUCCUGGUGUAGCGGUGAAAUGCGCAGAUAUCAGGAGGAACACCGGUGGCGAAGGCGGCCUGCUGGGCAGUUUUGCUGACACUGAGGCGCGACAGCGUGGGGAGCAAACAGG